GUUUGUAUGGGGGUUCUCGACACAGUCUCAAUUUUACGAUCUUCAUGAAGAUAUCUUUACGCAUUAAUUUCCACAAAACAAUGAACAAGAACACAAAAUCCAAAUGAAAUUUGAGGUAGGGCACGUGAUAGUCAGUCAUGUAGUUUUAUAAUUCCGUGCUCUCGUAAGUUCAGAGAGAAUGGUGUCCGAUUAUGGUGCUAACAAUAAUUAGCUUCCACUGCUGAACCCUCCU